UCGUGAAAUUGUAUAAACGGUAACUGAAGAACCUGCAGUCUGUCUGCCCUAUGGUGUGUGCACCUGAAAAUACAUGGAGACAAGUAAUGGUUCUACGCUCGACACGUGUAGCAGUUUCUUGAAUGACAAGUGGCAUGCAGGGAGACCUGAAACGCAAUGAAUGAACAUUUUGAUUUAGUAUCAGAUGUGAACGCCAAAAAACUUGCAUGGAAUUUCAAAGUAUUUGUAAUAAGGGUGUGGACAACUCCAAACAAGUUCAAUGUCAACGAGAUUGGCUCCAUCGAAAUGGUACUUCAAGAUAAACAGGGUGGCAGGAUUUAUGCAACCAUACCAAGAUCCCUGGCAAAGAAAUACAUUAGUGUUAUU